CCUACGGGUGGCAGCAGUGAGGAAUAUUGGUCAAUGGGCGCGAGCCUGAACCAGCGAAGUCGCGUGAGGGAAGACGGUCCUAUGGAUUGUAAACCUCUUUUGUCGGGGAGCAAAAGACGCCACGCGUGGCGUUACGAGAGUACCCGAAGAAAAAGCAUCGGCUAACUCUGUUCCAGAAGCCGCGGUAAUACGGAGGAUGCGAGCGUUAUACGGUUUGAUUGGGUUUAAAGGGUGCGCAGGCGGAAGAUCAAGGCAGCGGAAAAAUUGAGGGGCGAAACCUCUUUGAGCCGUUGAAACUGGUUUUCUUGAGUGAGUGAGAGGUAUGCGGAAUGCGUGGUGUAGCGGUGAAAUGCAUAGAUAUCACGCAGAACUCCGAUUGCGAAGGCAGCAUACCGGCGCUCAACUGACGCUCAUGCACGAAAGUGUGGGUAUCGAACAGGAUUAGAUACCCUUGUAGUC
rnacentral:rRNA from 1 species